GAAUCGGAGAGCCUACUGCCCCGUUAUAUUACUUGGAUUCUCUAAGGCCAUCAACUCCAUAUUCUGAAUUUCAAAGACAUAAGAUAGGAUAGAGAAUUCUUAUACGAGAUCCUGAGCGAGGUUAUCAAAGCAGGUGCAAUGACUAUUGACGUCGCUGAUACCGUUGGCUAUUGUUUGCCUCGUGAGUUUGGACAACUCGUUGCUGACAUAAAAGCCAACACUCCUGGCCUUGAGAAUGUCGUUUGUGCUAUCCAUUGCCAAUAAUGAUCUAGGACUGGUUGUUGCCAAUACUAUAGAGGGAAUUUCUUCAGGUGCGACACAAGUAGAUGUAACAAUAAAUGGAAUCGAAGAGAGAGCUGGUAAUGCUUCUUUGGAAGAGGUGGUAAUGACUAUGAAAUGCAAAGGAGAGUUAUUGGGUGGUAAUGACUGUUGGUGCUAAUACUUUUUCCCAUGAAAGUGGCAUCCAUCAGGACGGAAUGCUAAAAAACAAAAGC